UACGGGGGGGGCAAGCGUUGUUCGGAAUUACUGGGCGUAAAGGGCUCGUAGGCGGCCAACUAAGUCAGACGUGAAAUCCCUCGGCUUAACCGGGGAACUGCAUCUGAUACUGGAUGGCUUGAGAUUGGGAGAGGGAUGCGGAAUUCCAGGUGUAGCGGUGAAAUGCGUAGAUAUCUAGAGGAACACCGGUGGCGAAGGCGGCAUCCUGGACCAAUACUGACGCUGAGGAGCGAAAGCCAGGGGAGCAAACGGG
rnacentral:rRNA from 1 species